AUUAACAUAUGUUAACGUAUAGUUUUUAUAUUUAAAUGAAAUUGGUCGAUUUUAGUAAUAAAUAUAUAUUUAAUGUAUAUUUAUUUUAUUUAAAUGAAUUAUAAAUAUUUUAAUGAUUUAUUGAAAUCAAACACUUUAGAAUCAUAAUUCGAAAACGAAUUGAAACAUAGAAACACUUCGGUUUUGGAAAAGUAUUUCUAAUCGGGUUUGAAUUUAAAUACUCUCAAAUUGGAAAAGAAUCUUAAUCUUAGCCCAAUUAUUAUAGCCCACAAAGUAAAUAAACCCCCUAAACCCAAAUUUUACCCACAACUAAUUCUCUCUCCUCACUCAACUUCACACUCACGUGAAACCCUCAUUCUCUUUCACGUUAAUUCUCUUUUCUUCCCUCUUAGGCAACCACCACCGCCGCCGGUCAAGCAGCAGACGCCGCCGUUGUUCUCCUCCGACGCCCGACUUCCUCCUUCGUCCGCCACCAACAGCACCACCGCCACGUCGCCGCCCAGCCUGCAUCGCUGCGCCGCCGCGUUCCUUGCCCACACCAACCGACGUCCUCCCUUGUCCUCCCUCUUGCUCGACGGAACUCCUUUUCGUUCUUCAUAUCCCGCAAACACGAGUCAGUCGCAGCCACCACCGCUGCGCCACCAUCUUGCCUUGCCUGUCAGCCGCCGACUGUUCUGCUGCCGCCGUCUCAGACCACCGGCCAACCACCCUUUUGUCUCUCUUUUUGGUGGAGAAUUCUCCGUAGGCGACUUUUGAAUUAUUAAAGUGGUCUUGCAGUUUGUUUACACAAGUCUCUAAGGAUCAAUAAGCAUUGUCCAUCUACAGGUUUGAAGAUGAUGCAUCAUUGGGAUCGGGAUUAGAGAGCUUGUAGUUAUAUUUGUUUUAUUAAGUGAUUUGGGUUGUUAACUUAUAUUUGAAAGUUGUCGUACUAUUCGUAUUUCUUUAUUUCCGUUAAUUGGUUUUGGACUUAGUAUGUAAUCGAUUAUUUAUGAACCUAAAAGUUAGUUUUAUGUUUUCCGCUGCAAAAUUCUGAAUAAGCCGUACGUUUUCACACGGGCGAUAAUGCCUUGAUAAUUCUCUACGUUUUAUAUUAAAAGAUUAUUUUAGAAAAGAGAGAAUUGUCGGGGUGUUACAAAGUGGUAUCUAGAAGCUAAGGUUUUACUUUAAUAUUUUUUUUUAGGCGCCUAACUAUCUAGUUAUUUAAAAUAAAUUUCUUAAAAAUCGAGCUUCUACGCACUAUAUUGUUCAAAAAUUGGUACUUUUUUUUGGGGGGCCGAUUUCCUUUUAUCUUGUUUGAAAGUAUAUAAUAUUUCUUAUUUAAGUUCAGAAUUAACUUAUUUAUUCGAAACUUUUCGUUUAUGGGAAUUAAGUACGUUUUUCGUUAUUUUCGAAAUUAAAUUAAAUAU